GAGAGGGGUGUGGGGAGCCCACGGGGUGGAAGGGGCUCCUGGGGAAUCCCCCUCAGCCCUCCCCACAACUUCCCUCCCAAGGUGGCCAGAGCCCUGGCUGUCACUCGCCCUGGGUGUCCAGCAGGGAACGGGACCCCACCACCCCUGAUCUUCCAGAGGCCAGGCUCUGUUUGGGGACCCUCCCAGGAGCCCCCACCUGUCCCUCAGUACACUCCAGUGAGGCUGCAGAGCCCUGGCUCGCAAGUGGCAGGGAGGUCCCUGCAGGAGCCCCCGUCCCUGCAGGGCUACGCUCUGCACUCAUCUGUCUCUGAAGACAAAGUCCAGGCACCAGCCUGUCCCUCAGGACUCUGGCUGCUCCUGGAGGAGCCUUCAGCCCCAGGGUCACCACUCUGCAUCUGGGCCUUUCCUCCACGAGCCCUCGCUCCCCUUCCUAGGUGCGCCACCUCCACUGCCUGCCCCUCCUCCUAGGGACCAGUGUCUCUGUUUGGGCUUAGAGUCAAAAUCAUAAGGGGCAUAGUGCUCAUCCAGCCACGCUCUGGCAGGCCUCCCACCUCUGCCAGCUGGCAGCAGUGGACAGGGGUGAGGCCAUCCCCACCUGCCCUCAGGCAAGUGUCUCUCAGUUGAGCUCUUAGUCCCCAGGAUAGGAGGAGGCAGAGAUGUCUGCAAAUCUCUGUCCUGGACACUAGAGCUGGCAGGAACUUGGGGAGCAAGAGGUGGCCAAGCUGGCCAUCUGGACAGAGACCCAUCCAGGGGAGGAAUGACUAGGGCAAGGAGGCUGUGCCAGGGCCCCAGUGCCUCCAACUGUCACACCCAGGAGUCUCUUACCCAGUUCACAGUGGGCUCCCUCAUAGCCUCUGCUGCAGAGGCACAGGUACCCGGCAACGUGGUCCUGGCAGGAGCCCCCAUGCAGGCAUGGCUGAGACCGACACUCGUCCACUUCUGAGGGAGGAAGACCCCAAGAAUAAAGCCAUGUGCCCUUAGUUAAGCCAAGUUCAGAUGAACACAAACUAGUGCUGAGGGUUCAGAGUCCAUGACACCCUGUAGUUCUUGGAAAGGCCAACACCAGGGGCCAAGCCCCUCGGAGGGAGGGGCAGGUUGUAGCCCCAGGACUCAGAGCCUGGCCACGGCUAUGAAAUUAUGGGGAUGAUCAUGGUCAUCUUAAGGGCUCACGGAAGACACUGCGGAUUUAAUUCCAAUUUUGGAUAGGUCCAAAACACACGAGGUUUGGCAGAAAAUGUUCCGUGUCAAAUUUUGCCAUUUCAGUAUACAACAGUCCUGUGUGAAACCAGUGUAUUUGGAGGCCAAUCUGGUUCUGUGUGGUGAAUCUGUAUGGUGAAUCUUUUAAACUGGGAGUUGUGCUCCUGAGUUCAGAUGUUCAAUCUGAGGAAAGUCUAAUGUCAACACCUACAAAGCGAGUGAGCAGGAACGGCCUGGGGGGCCGGAGCCAGCACCCGCCUGGGAGCUGGGCGCUCUGUGCCCUCGCACUUGGGCUUCCUCCCUCCUCAUGGAACUGGCUUGCAACAUUUUGACGGUGGUCUCUGCGGUGUGUGACCACCUCAGACUCAUCCUUCCUUGUCUGGUGGACACUCGUGUUGGUUCCAGACUAUGGCAAUGACAGCAGAUGCUGCAGCAAGUACCCCACCUGCCCCCAGUAUAGAUGUGCAAGUGUCUCCAGAUUUCCCCCAAGCUGGGUCGCUGAGGUUAGCUCAACAGGCCAGUCACCACAUCCAAGUGCUCAUACUGACUUCCUCUCAUCCCGCCAGCCAUCUGCAAAACACCGCUGGCCCACAUUCUCACCAAGACAGGCUUCUUAGACUUCGGAAUUUUGCCAACAGAAUGUCUCGUUGUACUUCUGAUUUGCAUUUUCCUAAUUACUAAUGAAGUCGACUUUUCAUGUUCGUUGUCCACGUGUCUCUUCUUCCACCACAGGCCUGUUUGUGUGUCCUGCCUGUUUCCAUACUGGUUGAUUGUUCUCUCCUAUGGACACAUUGGCAUUUUUCACACCAUCUUGAAACAGCUCCUCAUCAGUGCGCAUGUGUGCUGGCAUGUGCCUCUGUACCCUCUUGAGGUUCCAGCUGACGUUUCACUUCUCACUUAAGUUCCUAGUUCUUGCAGGAACAAGUUAGUCCAUUCAUUUCUUUUAUAAGUGCAUUUUGUGGCUUUCCUUAACCAAAAGUAAAAAAGAUAUUUACCUAUA